AUUGAUUUUUGUAUUAGCCCUGUGUGUUGUUUCUAAGGAGAUUCUGCUUUCUGUUUUAGAAUGGUGUUACAUUUCAUUGUUUAUUAAUUAUAAUUUCUGCCAACAUGGUUUGUGUCUGAUACAAUUUAUUAAAAGUCUGUCCUAAUCUUUUUUUCUAAUUGUUACUUCCUUCAGAAACUUCAUUAAUUUUGAGCACUGAUGUGUAAAAAUGACAGAAAAAAGCAUAAUUCCCAAAAUGUUCACUGACCAGGUCCUUUCCCCUUGUGUCCAUUGAAAUCUUGCCCUAGAACACAGAAGCAAUUCAGUGGCAUCCGCUCCAGGUAUACCCAGUGAGUAAUCAUGCAAGAAAUAACCUGUAAAUAUUACAUUUCUCAAACCAAAAGAAGAUGAAGGUCCAAAGUGGAAUUGGCUAUUCUGAAAUUGGUCCAUUUUUUAGAAUGUAUAGGUCUCUAGAGCCUAGUAUUUCCUAAAAUAUUUGUGAAUAUGGAAGGAUUAGAGGAAAGGAUGUUUUGCUUGAAUUUUCCAGAUAGUUAGCUCUCAGCUACUCCUUUCUUCACUCUUUUG
rnacentral:lncRNA from 1 species